rnacentral:lncRNA from 1 species
CGGCGGGGUCCCAGCCCCUCGCCGGCUUGCUGUAGAGGCAGGCGCCGGGUGUGUCGCGGCAGUGCAGCGGCCGCGAAGGGGUGUUUUGCUGUAUGUCAUAUUCCUCGUUUCGCCAGAGCGGGGGUCCCGAGCUUCGGGCGCGGGACGCGGGGGUGCUCCGAGGCUGCGAGUGGAGGCGUGACGUGACGUCCCUGGCAAGAGGCGCGCGGAGUCAGGCCUUACUUAGAACGUGUUCCCGCCGCACAGCUACCAGCGGGCGCGACCGCUACCCACGCAUGGUGCGGUCGAGUAAACGGCACCGCCUGGCGAGCGAGAGACGCAAAGGGACAUAGCCCCCUAGGAGCUGAGCUCUUCGGGGGUAAAGCGUUCUCACGUUGAUGAGACCAGGAGGCGGCGCACGCCUGGCUCCGCGGCCCAGGGGUUGCAGGUGCCCCAGGGUUCGCGGGGCGCAGACGCCGCAGAGGGCGACGCCCUGCCCGGGUCCCGCGCGGACCCGGGGGACGCAGGGUCUGACACGGAGUGCGGAGGGGCCCCAGACACGCAGUCCAUGUCCCUUGAAACCAGAGGCACGCGCGGCCACGCGCUAGGCCUUUCCCUUAAGCCUGUGACCAAGAUCUCCGGGACUCCCAGCGUUGGGACGGGCGCGCUGGCCCACGCCCAAGCGGGAGGAUCGCUUGCGCCCAGGAGAUUGAGACCAGCCUGAGCACCAAAGCGAGACCUCGUCUCUACAAAAAAUAAGACUCAAGAAGACACCCAGGGUGAAUCGCCCGUCUGCAGCCAGCCUCCCGAGCACCGUGGCCGCGUCUGACAACUGACCUCUGUGUCUGGGUGUCCCUGUCCUCAGAGGGACACGGGACCUCAGAAAGGACCACAGCCCGGCGGCAGGCAUGAUGGUGGGAAAGCUAGUUAGGACAGGUGAGGCACUAAAUUUAGCCUGUCAUAAUUUGUAUCAGGGAAAUGAUGAACUUGUAUUUUUACACACCAUGGGCACCAACACAAGAUAUGGUUUCGUAAGCAGCUUUGGCAAGAACCAAAGGAACGGAACCUCUGCUUCCAAGUGUACGGUCAGGAGCAGCGUGUUAAUUAAAAUACACAAAAGAAUUUCUCAAAAAACAGUAAACGAACAGCAACCCGAUAGAAAAACGAGGAAAGAAUAUGAAUAAGCAGCUCCAGAAGAGGAAAUUCAGGUGGCCGGUAAACACAUGAAAAAGAUGCUCAUCUUCACUGGUCACCAGGAAAAUGUCCCAAACCUGCAAGCAACCCAAGUACUCAUCAGCAGGUGAAUAAACAAACUGGCACAUCCACACUGCGGAACACGGCUCAACCCCCAGGAGGACCCGGCGCGGAGCCCGGCUCAACCCUGAAGAGGAUUUCACUACUGACACACACGACAUCACAGGUGACUCUGGGAGCAAUCAGGUUCAGUGAGAGAAGCCGGACAAAAAAGAGUGCGUACCUUAUGACUCCACUUACAUAAAAUCCUAGAAAAUACAAACACCAGGCAGGCGCGGUGGCUCACCGCUGUAAUCCCCGCACUUCGGGAGGCCGAGGCAGGCACAUCACUUGAAGUCAGGAAUAUGAGACCCGCCUGGCCAACAUGGCAAAACCCCAUCUCUACUAAAAAUACAAAAAUUACCCUGGCGUGGUGGCACACGCCUGUAGUCCCAGCUACUCGGGAGGCUGAGGCAACCUGGGAGGCAGAGAUUUCAGUGAGCUGAGAUCACACCACGGCACUCCAGCCUGGGUGACAGAGACUCCAUCUCAAAAAAUAAAAAUAAAAAACAUAAAUAGCAACAGAGAGCAAAUCAGCAGUCGCUUGGGAAAUAAGGGGUAGGGAUGGGUGAGAGGGAGGGAUUACCAGGUACACGUGCAGCCUGGAUAGUGCUGAGGGCUUCACGACGUAGACGCAUCAGCCUCAUCAAAUUACACACUCUACCUAUGUGCGGUUUGCCUUGUGUCAACUGUGUAUCCAUAAAGCUAUCAACAAAAACUGCCUGCAAACUAUUUUUAACUGACAACUUUUUUUUUUUUUUGGGAUGGAGUCUCGCUCUGUUGCCCAGGCUGGAGUGCACUGGCGCGAUCUUGGCUCACUGCAACCUACGCCUCCUGGGUUCAAGCGAUCCUCCUGCCUCAGCCUCCUGAGUAGCUGGGACUACAGGUGUCCACCACCACGCCCGACUAAUUUUUGUAUUGUUAGUAGAGAUGGAGUUUCACCAUGUUGGUCAGGCUGGUCGCGAACUCCUGACCUCAAGUGAUCCACCGCCUUGGCCUCCAAAAGUGCUGGAAUUAUAGGUAUGAGCCACUGCACCUGGCCAGACAACUGU